GUUGGUUACGGUGACGUGUAUCCGAGGACUCCGUGGGGCAAGUUGGUCGGUGCCGCUUGUUGCGUCAGUGGUGUCUUGGUCAUUGCCUUACCCAUACCAAUAAUUGUAAGUAAU
rfam:Helobdella robusta unplaced genomic scaffold HELROscaffold_60, whole genome shotgun sequence.